UACAGAGGUCCCGAGCGUUGUUCGGAUUCACUGGGCGUAAAGGGUGCGUAGGUGGCUUGGUAAGUUUGAUGUGAAAGCUCAGGGCUUAACCCUGAAAUGGCAUUGAAUACUACUGUGCUGGAGGUUUGGAGGGGGGACUGGAAUUCAUGGUGUAGCAGUGAAAUGCGUAGAGAUCAUGAGGAAGACCAGUGGCGAAGGCGGGUCUCUGGACAGUUCCUGACACUGAGACACGAAGGCCAGGGGAGCAAACGGG
rnacentral:rRNA from 1 species